rnacentral:rRNA from 1 species
GCUUCCUGCAGUCGACGGUAACAGGGAGCUUGCUCCGCUGACGAGUGGCGAACGGGUGAGUAAUAUAUCGGAACGUACCCAAGAGUGGGGGAUAACGUAGCGAAAGUUACGCUAAUACCGCAUACGAUCUAUGGAUGAAAGCAGGGGACCUUCGGGCCUUGUGCUCCUGGAGCGGCCGAUAUCUGAUUAGCUAGUUGGUGAGGUAAAGGCUCACCAAGGCGACGAUCAGUAGCUGGUCUGAGAGGACGACCAGCCACACUGGAACUGAGACACGGUCCAGACUCCUACGGGAGGCAGCAGUGGGGAAUUUUGGACAAUGGGCGCAAGCCUGAUCCAGCAAUGCCGCGUGAGUGAAGAAGGCCUUCGGGUUGUAAAGCUCUUUUGUCAGGGAAGAAACGGUAGAGGCUAAUAUCCUUUACUAAUGACGGUACCUGAAGAAUAAGCACCGGCUAACUACGUGCCAGCAGCCGCGGUAAUACGUAGGGUGCAAGCGUUAAUCGGAAUUACUGGGCGUAAAGCGUGCGCAGGCGGUUUUGUAAGUCUGUCGUGAAAUCCCCGGGCUCAACCUGGGAAUUGCGAUGGAGACUGCAAGGCUAGAAUCUGGCAGAGGGGGGUAGAAUUCCACGUGUAGCAGUGAAAUGCGUAGAGAUGUGGAGGAACACCGAUGGCGAAGGCAGCCCCCUGGGUCAAGAUUGACGCUCAUGCACGAAAGCGUGGGGAGCAAACAGGAUUAGAUACCCUGGUAGUCCACGCCCUAAACGAUGUCUACUAGUUGUCGGGUUUUAAUUAACUUGGUAACGCAGCUAACGCGUGAAGUAGACCGCCUGGGGGAGUACGGUCGCAAGAUUAA